AUGCACGCUGGCGGCGUGCCUCAUCCCUGCAAGUCGAGCGAACAGACGAGGAGCUUGCUCCUCUGACGUUAGCGGCGGACGGGUGAGUAACACGUGGAUAACCUACCUAUAAGACUGGGAUAACUUCGGGAAACCGGAGCUAAUACCGGAUAAUAUAUUGAACCGCAUGGUUCAAUAGUGAAAGACGGUUUUGCUGUCACUUAUAGAUGGAUCCGCGCCGCAUUAGCUAGUUGGUAAGGUAACGGCUUACCAAGGCAACGAUGCGUAGCCGACCUGAGAGGGUGAUCGGCCACACUGGAACUGAGACACGGUCCAGACUCCUACGGGAGGCAGCAGUAGGGAAUCUUCCGCAAUGGGCGAAAGCCUGACGGAGCAACGCCGCGUGAGUGAUGAAGGUCUUCGGAUCGUAAAACUCUGUUAUUAGGGAAGAACAAAUGUGUAAGUAACUAUGCACGUCUUGACGGUACCUAAUCAGAAAGCCACGGCUAGCUACGUG
rnacentral:rRNA from 1 species